rnacentral:rRNA from 1 species
UACGUAGGGUGCAAGCGUUGUCCGGAAUUAUUGGGCGUAAAGAGCUCGUAGGCGGUUCGUCGCGUCGGCUGUGAAAUCCCGAGGCUCAACCUCGGGUCUGCAGUCGAUACGGGCGGACUGGAGUUCGGCAGGGGAGACUGGAAUUCCUGGUGUAGCGGUGAAAUGCGCAGAUAUCAGGAGGAACACCGGUGGCGAAGGCGGGUCUCUGGGCCGAUACUGACGCUGAUGAGCGAAAGCCAGGGGAGCAAACGGG